UACGUAGGGGGCAAGCGUUGUCCGGAAUCAUUGGGCGUAAAGAGCGUGUAGGCGGCUCGAUAAGUCUGCUGUGAAAGCCCAGGGCUCAACCCUGGAAGGCCGGUGGAAACUGUCGGGCUAGAGUCCGGAAGAGGCGAGUGGAAUUCCUGGUGUAGCGGUGAAAUGCGCAGAUAUCAGGAGGAACACCGGUGGCGAAGGCGGGUCUCUGGGCAACAACUGACGCUGAGGAGCGAAAGCGUGGGGAGCGAACAGG
rnacentral:rRNA from 1 species